CAAACAUUUUCCCUCUUGGCCAAAACAUUUCCCUCUCAUUUUCCCCCAAAUCAAUCCUCUCUCUCAUUUUCCCCCAAAUUGAAUCCGGUCGGCCGACCAUUGCUACUGAAACAGCAAGCUAUAGCUGCUUUCAUUGCUGAAUAAGUCAUGGGAGCAGGAGGUGUCAUAUCUCCUCUAGCUACCUAUUUUGACAAGUUCCAAGUUGCAGUGAAGAAAUAUGACAUUCUUUUCAUUGCGGAUGAGGUCAUCUGUUCUUUGGAGAGGCUCGGAACAAUGUUUGGCUGUGACAAGUAUAACAUCAAACAUGAUCUUGUCUCAUUCGCAAAGGUAAGAAAAAGACAUCUCGGCUAUACCAACUUAUAGAUGGAUGUACAAAUUUUCCUUCUUGAAAUGUUUUCAGGCUCUUUCUUCUGCAUAUAUGCCAAUUGGAGUUGUUCUUGUAAGCCCUGAAAUUUCUGAUGUAAUAUAUUCUCAAAGCAAUAAACUUAGUGAGCAUUCUUUUUAUUUGAUAGGAUAUCAAAUCAUUUCCUUUUGUCUGUUAGCCGAAGCGCUGAAUUUUUUUCUG